GACGAACGCUGGCGGCGUGCUUAACACAUGCAAGUCGAACGGAAAGGCUCUGCUUUUGUUGGGUGCUCGAGUGGCGAACGGUUGCGUAACACUGGAGUAACCUUCCCUAGACUUUGGGAUAACGUCAGGAAACUGGGGCUAAUACCGGAUAGUAGCUCCUGCUGCAUGUUGGGGGUUGGAAAGUUUCGGCGGUUGGGGAUGGAAUCGCGGCCUAUCAGCCUGUUGGUGGGGUAGUGGCUUACCAAGGCAUUGACGGGUAGCCGGCCUGAGAGGGUGACAGGGCACAGUGGGCCUGAGAUGCGGGCAAGACUGAUACGGGAGGCAGCAGUGGGAAAUAUUGCGAAAUAGGCGGAAGCCUGAUGCAGCAACGCCGCGUGCUGGAGGACGGCCUUAGGGGUGUAACCCGCUUUCGCCUGUAAAGAAGCGUGAGUGACGGUAACGGAUAAAGAAGAACCGGCUAACUACGUG
rnacentral:rRNA from 1 species